rnacentral:rRNA from 1 species
GUGGGGAAUUUUGCGCAAUGGGGGAAACCCUGACGCAGCAACGCCGCGUGGAGGAUGAAGUCCUUCGGGACGUAAACUCCUUUCGAUCGGGACGAUUAUGACGGUACCGGAAGAAGAAGCCCCGGCUAACUUCGU